GGCCGCGGGAAUUCGAUUCAGGCCUAACACAUGCAAGUCGAACGGGACUUAGUGGAAAGCGGCUUCGGCCAAUGGAAGCUAAGUUUAGUGGCGAACGGGUGAGUAACGCGUAAGAAACCUGCCUUUCAGUGGGGGACAACAGUUGGAAACGACUGCUAAUACCGCAUAAUGUAUUCGGGGGGCAUCCUCUGAAUACCAAAGCUUUAUGUGCUGAAAGAUGGUCUUGCGUCUGAUUAGCUAGAUGGCGGGGUAACGGCCCACCAUGGCGACGAUCAGUAGCCGGUCUGAGAGGAUGAAUGGCCACAUUGGGACUGAGAUACGGCCCAGACUCCUACGGGAGGCAGCAGUGGGGAAUAUUGGGCAAAGGGGGAAACCCUGACCCAGCAACGCCGCGUGAAGGAAGUAGGGCUUCGGGUUGUAAACUUCUUUACCAGGGAGAAGAAC
rnacentral:rRNA from 1 species